UACGUAGGUGACAAGCGUUGUCCGGAUUUACUGGGCGUAAAGGGCGUGUAGGUGGUUGUGUAAGUCUGGCGUGAAAUUUUUCGGCUUAACCGGGAAAGGUCGUCGGAUACUGCAAAACUAGAGGACGGUAGAGGCGUGUGGAAUUCCGGGUGUAGUGGUGAAAUGCGUAGAGAUCCGGAGGAACACCAGUGGCGAAGGCGACACGCUGGGCCGUACCUGACACUGAUGCGCGACAGCAUGGGGAGCAAACAGGAGUUAGA
rnacentral:rRNA from 1 species